AUACGCUGAACCAGGGACUAGUCAGGAGAGCAACUAAAAUCUGCACUUACCUCUUUGAGCAGAAACAGGAGGCAUAUUUCAGCAGUGUUGUGUAUUGAGCAUCGUUUUGAAAUUGUUUACUGAAUUAAACUACGUGUGCAGUACAGCACAGAAUCACUCGCAGCAUGCUUUCUGGCUUUCCACACCUGCUAUGUGACAUGUUCUCAUGUCUGGUACAUGUGCUGUAUAUGCUGGACAUACAGAGGUCUCAGCUCUGACAUAUAGGAAUGAAGACUAUAUAGUUUUCAUGAGAAACUGCAGCCAUUAAAAGAAUGAGAUGCUCUCCAUGUUACUGGAAAUACAGGAAAAACCCUCCUGGUUAAAUAGGAAGCUACUGACAGUGGUCAUCCCUUUGCAGACAGAGGAUGAAGAGAACUGUGCUGUGCAGAGCCAUUCGCUGUGAUAUCCGUGACUACACAAUGGUUUGAUCUGGUACCACACACCUGACAUUGCUGACCAGAGAAGAGAGGAAACGCUGCUCCUCCUCAGAGAUGCUCUCUGCCUGUGGAAGAGAACACCUGUUAUCUGCAGCCACCUCCAGCA